rnacentral:lncRNA from 1 species
UUCAUUUAGAAGCGGUGUCUGUGGGGUGCUGAGAGGCACGGAAAAGGAGGGGCUGCGGAGGGUGGUGGAGGGGGUCGGGAGGGACGGGGAGCAAAGUGAGCGUGUGUGUACAGUGCAAGGCUCCGGCGGCCGCGCGGGGGGCGGGGGGAGAGGCGCUCAUACUUACCUGGUAGGGGAAACACCAUGAUCAGGAAGGUGGUUUUCCCAGGGCGAGGUUCACCCAUUGCACUGCGGGUGUGCUGACCUCUGCGAUUUCCCCAAAUGCGGGAAACUCGACUGCAUAAUUUGUGGUAGUGGGGGACUGCGUUCGCGCUCUCCCCUGGCGUUUCUGCGUUUAAAUGGCAGAGUAGUCUUUUGUGCCGAGUGUGCGCUGUAAGUGAGUAGUGAGCCCGGCGGCAAGCCUGCGGGCCGCCUGAUUUCUGAGACAAGGGGCCGGGGCCAUGGGCCCAGCUAGUUAGCAAGCCCGAGAGCACUGUCCAUUCUUCGCAGCGAGAACGUACUCCUCACCCUAGACCAAGCACUGCCCUGGACCACUUAACACAUCAUACAAGCAAGGCCCGACAGGAUCAAACUCUUUGCGAAGAACUCAUGCAUCCCUGAACCGGAAGCCCGACGUGUACCACAACACAAAACUCUCCGGCCUCCAACAAGGUAAAGUUCAGUGUCUGGCACUCCAUCAAGAGAUCGCCGAGUAUCCAAAGAGGCAGCAGAAAGGACCCGUCAUGAGGAGACGAAUCCAGCAUUUGCAAGUGACCCAGAGCUCACACAGAUGUUCGGAUCACCAGAGAAGAAGAUGAAAACUUUGAUUCCAACGGUGUUCAUUCUAUCAGUUCAAACAGUUAUUCAGACACAUGGGAAAGAGCAAACAAACCAACCAACCAACAACAACAACAACAAAAAACCCAACAACAAAUAAAAAGACCCAGUCAAACUUGAAGGCAGGAAAACCACAAUGUCUGGGAGGAAAGGUACUGCAAGGGAUCAAGGGUGUGCAAUUAGAACGCGCAGAGGAAAACAUUUUGACAGGAACUGUAUUGACUCUGCACAUCCCACUUUGAGUAGUACUACUGGCCUCUCAACUGCACUGAAUCUUCCAGUCCCUGAAGCCUGUCUUUCCAUUUCCUCGGGUCUUCUUUCAUCUCUUGCAGCAGCAGUUUUCAAAACUAUUUCGCAGGUCUUUGAGUUCAGUGUGUGGACUCAGUUCAGGCUCCUGCAGGAAAAACACAGACAAGGGACCAAAGUCAAGACUUGGCUGCAGUUCCCAGGGCACAUGCAACAUGCAUCUCGGACCCACAGGCAUGCAGGGAAAGAAAAAAAAAAACAAAAAAACUCAGCAGGAGAGGAAUUUCGAGUAUUGGAAGGACUUUAUCUUCCUGAUGAAGACACUGUGGUUCAUGGAGAUAGGGAGAUUCUCCCAGGUUCCCACACCACUUGGGGGCAGCAGAGCAACCCAUGAGCCUUGGCCACAAGUUUUCCUGUCCAAAAGCACCGGGAUCCCACAACUGAAUGUCAGGGAACACUGGAUCAAAAAUACAAUUGUUCACUCUUUAAAAAACAAAAAACACCUGAAACAUGCUUCCUGAAAAAAACCGUGCGUCACUGUUCAACUGUCCCAUGUUUAUACUCAGGCAAUUGUCAGUCCGGGCUGGCAUAUAGGACCCGCGAACACAAAAGCACUAAGCACAUCACAAUCAUAUUUUAAUAUGUAUUAUCUGUCAAUAUGCACCUCCCGUGCUAGAGAUCAUCUUUCUGACAGCAGGCACUCUCCCGGCCUGGUUCACCCCACCUCUCCUCCCCAGUGCCUCCUCAAGUGCCGGCCAGAUCCAACAUUUACUGCCCAGCAGAUAAACACCAGGUACCAGGGCUACCUUUUAUCCAUGUCUUCUCGUCCCGUCACAUUUCCAAUCAGAUCUUAUCCUACGUCGGUGCUAAACAGCGAAAGCACAGUCCUAGGAAAAGCAGUCCACCAUGCAAAUAUCUGCUCCAUCAUGCACCAAAGUUACAUGACAUGAAGAUUUCAUCACCCUCUGGGGCACACAAAUCUCAUGGAUAACAAACACGGAGGACCGUAUAAUGUGAAACAGACAAGGCUGUAUUAACCUGGGAUGAGUAAAUGUGCUCUCCUUCAGCCCACAGCCUCUAAGCCCUGAGCUAAAGAUCGGACAGAUAUGCAGUUACUUCUGCUCCUCUCAAACAAGACCACAUCACAUGUCCCACCAGAAAGAGUUAAGAGGGCUGUGUGCCUGCCAUUGCAUUUAUUAAUCAC